GCACUUCCGGGGCCCGCGUCCCCCGGCGGCUUCGCCGAGAAGGGGCUUUGGGAGCUUAAGGGCGCCGGCACGCGUUCCCCUGGCGCAGAGCUCGCUAGCCGGGGCGCGGGCUGCCUCCUUGUUCUGGUGUGAUCCGAAUGUAACGGAGCGGACUUUGGGAUCCAGAACCCCGGACUGAGGUUGUGCUUGGCUUGAGGGGCGGGCUGGUAGGUCAGCCCCCUUGGGGCGUCGUUGGUCCUCUCCAGGCGUGUCACAUUCUGCCCGCACAUGGUGCCUUGGUACUCCCCAAAAGUCAUGCCUUGAUUUUUCUUACUAAUAAUAGUUUACACUGUUUUACCGCUUCACUGCUUCACGAUUUUUCCUCUUAGGAUUUAUUUCCCUGGAGACCUCAUGAAGAAUGAUGUGGGUUCUAUAGGGUACAGUGUGAUCUGGGUCCUGCCUAAUCUCCUUUCUAAACUUCAGAAAAUCAUGUACCUUGGAGUUGUGGAGGCAUGUUUAUAAGCAGAUCUGAGUUUUGCCACACUGGAAUUUAUUUAUUCAUUGAACAAAUAUUUAAUACCUACUACAAUUCUUAGCCGAUAUCCAGACAACUUGGAGCCAAGUCCCCACAGCUGGAUCAGACAACUUUUGGUGACAUCUCACAGUGUGGAUUAUCAAGCCAGUGUAUCAGUCUGGAGCCUAGGUUUUUUGCCUUUAGCUUUGCUCAGGAUGACUUCUGCUCUUCUAUGGCAAUACUUGAGAAGCUACAGCUUUGAUUAGACGAGAGGCUAUUUCAAUAACUUUCUCCUGAUAAGAAGACCACCGACCGUGGACGGAUUCUGGCCAGUUUACAAAGGCUGCAUACCAUAGGGCAGGGCACCCCACUAUGGCAAACACUAAUAAUGAUAUUGCUCCUGAUUUUGUUUCUGAAGGGAAUGCCUCUAAGAUUUCUUCAUUAAUUAUAAGAGACUGGGUCUCACUCUGUUGCCCAAGCUGGAGAACAGUGGCACCAUCAUAGCUCACUGCAGCCUUCAACUUCUGGGCUCAAGUGCUUCUCCCACCUCAGCCUCCCAAGUAGCUGGGACAACAGGUGAAAUUGAAGGCCAGCUUUUGGAACUCAACCUUCAAAGGAACUUAAAAUUUCCAUUAUGUAGAGUCCCUGAGGAAACUGGAUCCACUAGCUACACUGGCUGAGAAUGCUCUCACCCCAGGAUUUCAUUUUUAUUUUACCACAUCAUUGUUGGUAUCUUAAGAUCAAUGUACUGGAGCAGCGGGGUCUCACAAAGAGGAUACCUGGUGACACGCCCAGGCUUUCAGAAUGCACUAUAGGGCUUUAGUGACUUGUCCAGGUUCAGCUGAAAUGUGCCAUCUGGGACCUACUAAUGCUUGUUGAACUUUACUGGAUCUCAGAAGCUGGGUCUCAGAAGCUCAGAUGUUCCUCAGAGCUACGAUAUCAACAACCUGUGAUGACAGAGAGAAGGUUGCUCCAUGAUGGAUUUGGAAACUUACUGGCUAGCUAAACCUGACUGAAUGGGAAGGAAUGUGGAUAGCUUUGGAACUCUAGUUUCACUAGAUGAGCUGGAAUUUGUAUUUUGACAAAUUGCACGUUAUGAUUAUUAAGUAAUGCAACUGAUUUUUUUUUCCCUUAAAACAAACAAUCUAGAAUCUGUGUAAUCAAAAUAAUUUCUCUAAAAGGCUGCAAGUAUAUGCUUAAAGUGUUGGGGCAUUCAGAGCAUUUGGAACAUUACAUUCUUUUGAAUGUCAAUUGGUAGAUGAAAAUACCAGCUUUUAAGUCAUACAUUUGAUUUUUUGAAACAAUAUGCAUUUAGAGUUUGUAAGUCAAGUGAAUAACUGAUAAGGUAAAAAAAAGGGGGAGUUCAUUGUUGAGUAUGAAUUUAAAGUAACCAGACUGCCUUUUGUCCAGUGGCUGUCAGUAAUUUACUUCAGCAGGCAUUUUUUUUUUUUUGAGGCUGUUCUAUGAUAUCAUGACCCUUCUUGUAGGAAUGUGCUUCCAGUGGUGAGGCAGUCUGAGAAUGUGUGAAGCAGUAUAAUGAAGCCAGACCAAGAUGGAAGCUUGGCCUGGGAUUUGAGCAUCAGGAAAACUGUUGAAGGGUUAUGUAUACAUCACACACACACACACACACACACACACACACACACACACACACACACUCUCUUCCAUACUCCUAUAACAACGUAUAGUAUUUACUAUACCUGGUGACAGGUAUUUACUAUACAUUGUUGAAGAUCUAUAACAUGGAAUGCCUAGUGCUAAGUGCAGUGUCCUUAGUGAAAUUGUAUUGGUUUGGAAUUAUUUAUGAGUUUGGGAUUAUUUGUCACUACCCUUAAAUGAUCUUGACACUCACCUAUUUGAAAAGAUAUUGAGGAUUUGCCAUUUGAUAUUGACCAGGGUGUAUUGUGCACAAAUAUUGUGAAUAUACAUCUGUCUGUCCUUAAAUCACUGUAAGUUUUAACUGGAAUAGAUUUGCUCCACAUUACUCGGUAGGGCUGAUAUUUCAUGCCUCAUGGAUGAGAAAAGAAUAGGCAAAAAUUAUAUCUCGGGCUGCCUCACACAUCUUUUAACAGGAUAAGGGAAAAAUAAAUAUAAGACCUAUGAGUUAUGGCAUCAGGCUUGAACUUUAAUUUAUGAAUUAAACCAACAAUAUUAUUGAUUAUUGCAAUUAUCUAUCUUAAUUUCAUUUGUUCUCCUUUUAAAAAUUAAUUAUGUUUAUUUUACCUAUUGUGAAUAAAGUCACUCCUCCCAUGUGCUUA
rnacentral:lncRNA from 1 species